rnacentral:rRNA from 1 species
CAGCCGCCGCGGUAAAACGUAGGUGGCAAGCGUUGUCCGGAAUUAUUGGGCGUAAAGGGCUCGCAGGCGGUUUCUUAAGUCUGAUGUGAAAGCCCCCGGCUCAACCGGGGAGGGUCAUUGGAAACUGGGAAACUUGAGUGCAGAAGAGGAGAGUGGAAUUCCACGUGUAGCGGUGAAAUGCGUAGAGAUGUGGAGGAACACCAGUGGCGAAGGCGACUCUCUGGUCUGUAGCUGACGCUGAGGAGCGAAAGCGUGGGGAGCGAACAGGAUUAGAUACCCCCGUAGUCCCUGUCUCUUAUAC